UACGUAGGGCGCAAGCGUUAUCCGGAAUUAUUGGGCGUAAAGAGCUCGUAGGCGGUUUGUCGCGUCUGCCGUGAAAGUCCGGGGCUCAACUCCGGAUCUGCGGUGGGUACGGGCAGACUAGAGUGAUGUAGGGGAGACUGGAAUACUUGGUGUAGCAGUGAAAUGCGUAGAUAUCAAGUGGAACACCAGUGGCGAAGGCGAGUCUCUAGACAUUUCCUGACGCUGAGGCACGAAAGCCAGGGGAGCAAACGGG
rnacentral:rRNA from 1 species